GACGAACGCUGGCGGCGUGCCUAACACAUGCAAGUCGAACGCUGAAGGAGGACUUUGCUUCGCUGGCUGAGUUGCGAACGGGUGAGUAACGCGUGGGUAACCUGCCUGGUAGCGGGGGAUAACUAUUGGAAACGGUAGCUAAUACCGCAUAAUAGUAGAUGUCGCAUGACGUUUGUUGAAAAGCUGCAAUUGCAUCACUACCAGAUGGACCUGCGUUGUGUUAGGUAGUUGGGGAGGUAAAGGCUCACCAAGGCAACGGGACAUAGACGACGUGAGAGGGGUGACGGCCAACCUGGGACUGUGACCCGGCCCAGGCGUCUUCGGGAGGGCGCAAGAGGGGAACGUUGGACAGUGGCGGAAAUCUGUCCGCAAAACGCCGGGGGAGGGAAGAACGGUGUCGGGUCGGAAAGGUCUGUUGUAAGGGGAGAACGAGUGUUAGAGUGGAACGUUGACACUGUGACGGUAUCUGAACAAAAAGCACCGGCUAACUACGUG
rnacentral:rRNA from 1 species